UUAAGUCGACCGCCUGGGGAGUACGGCCGCAAGGUUAAAACUCAAAUGAAUUGACGGGGGCCCGCACAAGCGGUGGAGCAUGUGGUUUAAUUCGAUGCAACGCGAAGAACCUUACCUGGUCUUGACAUCCACGGAAGUUUUCAGAGAUGAGAAUGUGCCUUCGGGAACCGUGAGACAGGUGCUGCAUGGCUGUCGUCAGCUCGUGUUGUGAAAUGUUGGGUUAAGUCCCGCAACGAGCGCAACCCUUAUCCUUUGUUGCCAGCGGUCCGGCCGGGAACUCAAAGGAGACUGCCAGUGAUAAACUGGAGGAAGGUGGGGAUGACGUCAAGUCAUCAUGGCCCUUACGACCAGGGCUACACACGUGCUACAAUGGCGCAUACAAAGAGAAGCGACCUCGCGAGAGCAAGCGGACCUCAUAAAGUGCGUCGUAGUCCGGAUUGGAGUCUGCAACUCGACUCCAUGAAGUCGGAAUCGCUAGUAAUCGUGGAUCAGAAUGCCACGGUGAAUACGUUCCCGGGCCUUGUACACACCGCCCGUCACACCAUGGGAGUGGGUUGCAAAAGAAGUAGGUAGCUUAACCUUCGGGAGGGCGCUUACCACUUUGUGAUUCAUGACUGGGGUGAAGUCGUA
rnacentral:rRNA from 1 species